UACGUAGGGGUCGAGCGUUGUCCGGACUUACUGGGCGUAAAGCGUGGGUAGGUGGCUAGUGAUGUGCCGUGUGAAAGCGCCGCGCUCUCGCGGCGAGGUCGCGGUAGACACACUAGCUAGAGCACGGAGAGGGGGCGUAGAAUCCCGGUGUAGUGGUGAAAUGCGUAGAUAUCGGGAGGAAUACCAGUGGCGCAAGCGGCGCCCUGGCCGUGACCUGACACUGAGCCACGACGGCGUGGGGGGAGCAAACGGG
rnacentral:rRNA from 1 species